AAGUCGUAACAAGGUUUCCGUAGGUGAACCUGCGGAAGGAUCAUUAUUGAAUAGUCUUGGGCGCUGUGCUGGCUUUUCGGAGCACUGUGCACGCGUUCAUGCAUUAUCUAUCUCUUGUGAACCUAGUGUGGGCUUUGAAUGAGCGGACGGGGCAACCUGAAAGCAAGUUUGAAGACCAUUUUUUAUAAACAAUAAACAAAUCUUAGAAUGUCUUUCUCUGUUACCUCGGUAGCAAAAAAAACUAUACAA
rnacentral:misc_RNA from 1 species